UAUCUGCUAUGGGUUUUUUUCCAGCCUCUCUGCAUAAUAUUAUAGAAUCACAAGGGAAGUUUUCAAAUAUACCCAUGCCCAGGCCCCAGCGAUUCCAAUUUGUUUGGGAUGGGAUUGGCCAAGACCAAUAUUUAAGAUUCCAAAACAUUCCAAUCUGCAAGACAGAUUGGAAAACUCCAGCGGUGUUCCCGCCUGCUUCAGUUCAGGUGUGAAGGCCUCCAACCUGACCUCUCUGCUUUUGAAUUUGACCCCUACCUUUGGUUAAAUUCUCCUUUCCUAUUUACAUAAUGGAGGAAAAAUAUUGGAAGCGGCAGCUUUAUGGGCAGGAUCUUGGCUGACAGAACGAACGAGUAUGGUUCGUGCUGUUCAAUUGUAAUCCUGGCAGAAAAUCUGUUGGGUGACUCCAAGCCGGUGCCUUCGCCAAACCGUUCUCAUUCAGGACGCUUCUGCCCCUAGAGGGCGAGCACAUAGGGUCAUGAACCUCUUUUUUUCUUCUUCUUUUUGUAACAGGCUUUUAUUUAUAUUGAAAGCUAUCAGAGAAUUUCCUACAGUAUAGAAGAAAGGUGGGGAUGAUUGCUUUAAAGGAUCAACUCCGCGAUCCGUCCCUUCUGGGCGCUGCUCCCAAGGUGGAUUCCUGGGUCAAUUUCCAUCUUACCUGUCACUCGCUCCACGUCCGCCCACCUCUGCCCCUUUCCGCAGUCCGUUUACACCCAUUCUUGAACGAUUCCAUUGGGAUUCCCCAACCCUGGUGCUAGUGUGACCCCAAGAUACGAGACCGCCCUCCUUGGAGCCGCCGCGGGCUCCUGGGGCAGGCGGCCCCGAGAGCCGGGUGCGGGGACCGGGCUGCCACUCUGCGGCGGCCGGGGCCCCCACGCGCCUGGGGAGGCAGAGGUCGCUCCCCGAUCGCGGGAAACCGGGGCACACGUGUAGAUCUGCUGGGGUUCAGGGGGCCAGUAACGCUCGCCUCGCUUCGGAAGGCCGGUCCCCGCGCGGGAAGCCCCUCGCGUAGCCGGGAGACCCAGGUCUCUCCGGAGCCACCACCUCGGCCGGUCCCCAGCCCCGCUCUUCGCAACUUGGAAGCCUCAAGGCGCAAGUCCGCAGCCCCCGGCGACGGGAGCCGCGUUUCCUCCCCACUCCCCAAAGCAAAGCGAACCAAAUGCGGAUUUCGGACCCGGCACAACAGUAAGCAGUGACUUGUGGGGUUGCAGAGGUAAGCCCAGCGUGCUGGUGAGCACUGGGGGAGGCUACCUAACUCAGACUGGCAAGGAGGAGA